rnacentral:misc_RNA from 1 species
GAUGAAGAACGCAGUGAAAUGCGAUAAGUAAUGUGAAUUGCAGAAUUCAGUGAAUCAUCGAAUCUUUGAACGCACAUUGCGCCCGCCAGUAUUCUGGCGGGCAUGCCUGUUCGAGCGUCAUUUCAACCAUCAAGCCCCAGGCUUGUGUUGGGGACCUGCGGCUGCCGCAGGCCCUGAAAACCAGUGGCGGGCUUGCUGUCACACCGGGCGUAGUAGAUUUUAUCUCGCUCAGGGCGUGCUGCGGGUUCCGGCCGUUAAAAAGCCUUUUUUACCCAAGGUUGACCUCGGAUCAGGUAGGAAUACCCGCUGAACUUAAGCAUAUCAAUAAGCGGAGGA